rnacentral:rRNA from 1 species
ACGGAGGGUGCGAGCGUUGUCCGGAAUCAUUGGGCGUAAAGGGCGCGUAGGCGGCCACUUCAAGCGUGCGGUGAAAGUCGGGGGCUCAACCCCUGAUCGGCCGUGCGAACUGGGGGGCUGGAGCACUGUAGAGGCAGGCGGAAUUCCGGGUGUAGCGGUGGAAUGCGUAGAGAUCCGGAAGAACACCGGUGGCGAAGGCGGCCUGCUGGGCAGUUGGCUGACGCUGAGGCGCGACAGCGUGGGGAGCAAACAGGA